GACGAACGCUGGCGGCGUGCUUAACACAUGCAAGUCGAACGGAAAGGCCCUGCUUGCAGGGUACUCGAGUGGCGAACGGGUGAGUAACACGUGGGUGAUCUGCCCUGCACUUCGGGAUAAGCCUGGGCAACUGGGUCUAAUACCGGAUAGGAGCCAUUUUUAGUGUGAUGGUUGGAAAGUUUUUUCGGUGUAGGAUGAGCUCGCGGCCUAUCAGCUUGUUGGUGGGGUAAUGGCCUACCAAGGCGGCGACGGGUAGCCGGCCUGAGGGGGUGGACGGCCACAUUGGGACUGAGAUACGGCCCAGACUCCUACGGGAGGCAGCAGUGGGGAAUAUUGCACAAUGGGCGCAAGCCUGAUGCAGCGACGCCGCGUGGGGGAUGACGGCCUUCGGGUUGGAAACUCCUUUCGCCAGGGACGAAGCUUUUUGUGACGGUACCUAGAUAAGAAGCACCGGCUAACUACGUG
rnacentral:rRNA from 1 species